GGUUGGGAAGAUCUCCUAGAGAAGGAAAUGGCAACCCACUCCAGUAUUCUGCAUGGGAGAUCCCACGGAGAGAAGCCUGGUGGGCUACAGUCCGUGGGGUUGCAAAAGAGUCGGACAGGACUCAGCGACUAAACAACAAUAAAAUAUACACACACAUACACAUAUAUAUUCUUUUUCAGAUUCUUUUCUGAUACAGGUUAUUACAAGAUAAUGAAUAUAGCUCUCCAUGCUAUAAAGUAGGGUCUCGUUUAUUGUGGACUUCCUUUUAUUUCCUGCAGUGUUGCUUUGUUUUGAAUUAUGUGCAGAGGGAUUAUAUUUUCAGUGUUCAGGCCUCAGGAGUACAGAGAUGGGGUACAGAUGCCUGUGGAGAGCCAACUGAUGUCUGGGCAAAAAGAGAGGCAUGAAGUAAGGGAGAUAACCCACCCUAGUGAAGACUAGCUCAGAGGAAAGUUUCUUUUUUGGGCUAUGCUGUGUAGCAUGCAGAAUCUUAGUUCCCCGACCAGGGAUUGAACUGCAGUGGCAGCAUGGAGUCUUAACUACUGGACCACCAGGGAAGCCCCCAGGGGAAAGUCUUUUGAGCACAGAACACUACUCUCAGAUUUUCUCCUGGGACAGGAGGUUGGAGGAGCAUACGAGUGUGAGCUGGAAUGGUGAUGGCAGGGACUUAGAACCAAGAGUGGUUCAAGUUGCAGGACCCUAAGACAUCACUGAAUUCAACU
rnacentral:lncRNA from 1 species